rnacentral:rRNA from 1 species
UACCAGCACCCCGAGUGGUCGGGACGACUAUUGGGCCUAAAGCAUCCGUAGCCGGUCCUACAAGUCUUCCGUUAAAUCCACCUGCUCAACAGAUGGGCUGCGGAAGAUACUAUAGGGCUAGGAGGCGGGAGAGGCAAGCGGUACUCAGUGGGUAGGGGUAAAAUCCUCUGAUCCAUUGAAGACCACCAGUGGCGAAGGCGGCUUGCCAGAACGCGCUCGACGGUGAGGGAUGAAAGCUGGGGGAGCAAACCGG